UACGUAGGUGGCUAGCGUUGUUCGGAAUCACUGGGUCUAAAGGGUGCGUAGGCGGGCUAUCAAGCAAGUGGUGAAAGUCCAUGGCUUAACCAUGUGAUUGCCUUUUGGACUGAUAGUCUGGAGUGCAGGAGGGGAGAGCAGAAUUCCCGGUGUAGGGGUGAAAUCUAUAGAUAUCGGGAAGAAUACCGGUCGCGAAGGCGGCUCUCUGGUCUGCAACUGACGCUGAGGCACGAAAGCGUGGGGAGCGAACCGG
rnacentral:rRNA from 1 species